UCUGAGGUUUGAGCUUGUGUCCUUCCAUCUGUUUCUCCUGUUGCUCUUGUGGUGGUCCCCACAGAGUGAUCUCUGGUCAUCUGGGAUAUCAGACUCUUUCAUAGAGAGUCCAGUGUCACACUGUCUGGUGCAAUUGGUUAUUCUUGAGAGAGGGCUUGUCCCUGGAGCUCCCUGGGCAUCUGAUACACCCUUCUCCCUGGGAAACUCCAUUACUUUUUGGAUAGAAACCAAAAUCAUGCAGUUUAAUAUUGCACUAAGGUAAAUGCUUUGGCAUGAAAUCAUCCUGCAACAAACAUUACAUCACAACUUUAACUGGUAAUGUUUUAAUGUAUAAAUUUCGCUAGGCAACAGACCAGUAGAGUUUUUCACCUUUUAAAGUGACAAGAGAUAUUUACUAGCUUUGUUCUUUGAGACUGUUGCAAAGGCAGUCAGCCCCUUAAAUGUGAGACAGGAAAGGUUCACAUUCACCUCAAGUGGUUUUCCAUGUCUUUAUUACACAUGCAUGCACACAAACACAUAUAUAUGUAUAUGCAGAAAAUUACACACAGAUAACUGCUGUAGAGAGAGACUAUAAAAUAUAAAUAUAUGUAUAUAAAAUGUUUAGAAGUAUUUGCCUCUCACACCCAUCCUUAGUUUGUGUGAGUGCCAGAAACUAGGUAUGACGAUCCAGACUGGAAGAAAUAUAUUGCAUUUAUGGAAAUCAUUCAUUUUCCCUGUCUGGGAGCCUCUUGAAUAUAAAUAAUAUUUUCAUUUAUAAAUUUCAAAGCACAGUCCUAAGAAUGGGUAAGAAUCAUUAUCUUCAUUUGACAGUUGGAGAAACAAAGAGCAGACUGUUUUAAGCAGCAGUCUAAGGUCACAUGGAGUAAAUGAAGUCAAACCUCAUCUCCCCAGCCUGACUUUCCCUUGAGAGAGCAGACCAGAUAGCACACCACUCAACUUUAUCAGCUGAAACUCUUCAGCAUGUAUGCUAAUAGUAUUGGCAGCCCUGAGCCUUCGCAGAUCAGGGCUGAGGUUUCCAAUGGUCAGCAAAUUUGCUUUAAAUUCCUAAGAUUAAAAAGCCUGAAUAAAUACACUUGUCUUUCUUCUGUUUGUUUGCUGUAAUCUGAGCCUUUGGGCUGUGUUAAAGUGAUGGCUUCCAGGUAUUUCCACCACCAAAAGAUCUAGCCAUCUUUCCUUUAUAAAAAGGCUGGGAGAGGGGAACACUAAACAAACAGCACUGAAUGCUGUCAGUGAAAUCAGGAGAGCUGGCAAUGAGAUGCAGAGAUCAUACCUAUUUCUGGCACGUGCUGAGGGCUUUUCAGAGAUCUUUAGAAAAUAAUCUCCUUCCUCCACCCCAAAAAAACCUUAAAAACAAAGAGGCCCACAUUUUAGUUUUGGAGAUGAAGCAGGACCGGUAAUGACUCUGGGGACUGGUGAAUAUUUGUCACCAGCCUGGCUUGGGUCCUCAGGACCUUUUCCAAGGCACAGCAGCUUGGGGCAUUGUUCAGUUUGCACUGUGGGAACCAGGCAGCAGCCAACGUGGCCAGAGCACCAUUCAGGGCUGGGCAUACGUCAGCCUUCUUUUGCAAUCAGAACUUCCCCAAUGUCAGCCAGUUCCUCCCAUUGGGGUUGAUAAUGUGGGACCAUAGUGGCCACAGCCACGUGAAGCAGAGCGCUUCAGCCUCAGUUCAUCCAUCCUCUUCAUAUUAGCUGAAGAAAUGCUUAUGGGUUAACACUGGGCUGUGAAGCUUUACAUCGGGUAGCAUUUAUCUGCACCCUUCUUGCUCUGCACCAGCUGAAAUUCACCGCUCUGAAGUGAUGGUGUUCGGUGUAGAGCUGUUUUUUCUUUUAAGACCUGUCUUGUUCAGAUAUCUCCAAAUUAGAGAAUCACUGGGGACACUGAUAGUUGUUUUCCUUUUAAGUCAGAGACACUAUUUGCUUUUUUGGUUCCUCAGUUGUUUUAUCUCUUAUAUUAUGUUGAACCAUUUUGAAAGCUAUAUCUUCCAUUUAAAAGUCAUAUCCCAUUAUCUAGGAGGGAAUUUGAAAAGGUCGGUGUUAAAAGAAAACACAAGUUAAAACAACCCCAACACUUGAGCCUUCAACACUAACUAACCCAUGCGAUAUUGAAGGUUAAUUACACUUUAAGAAAAUUCUCAGGCAAUACAUGUGGCAUGCUACUGAUAAAAUGACAUUGCUUAUAAUAAAUUAAAUUACAAUAGAAUCUCAUUGAGGCACUAAUCACGGGCAAAGUGCUGAAAAAAGAAAUUAAUGUUUAGUCAGGCUGGUAUUCUUUCGAGUUAAUAAACAAAGGAAAUGGUGCAUUCUGAUUCAUCAUCAAUGACAGUUCAGAUUUACUUGGUAUUAACGCAUUUGCACAUAUGUUGUAAAAUGACAGUGGUAGGUAUGUGACAGCAUUGCUUUGCCAUGUCUGUUAGCGUUUCGGUGUUGGUACAGGCCUUGUAUGCACUGGGGAGAAAUACAUACAGGCAUUCAAAAAAAAUGAAAGUCAAAUAUGUUAUCCAGGUUUCAUUUCUUUCUCAAAGUCAGAAAAUCACAUGUUGGCACACAUUUGCUGGUGUGUGAAAAAUGAAGUGUAGGUUUGUUACUGAAUCUCAUAUUUAGCAGGAAAGUCUUGAGUGUGUGCCCUGUAUAUCAUGUUGGCAUGUUAUUUGCUAUGGUAAUAAAUAAAUAAAUCUCUUCUGAGAACCUGGUUCUUGUUUUUCAGCUAACUUGUUGACUGAGUCUGGUAAAUGCAAUUGUUCAAAUUUCUUCAUGCUGCAACCCUUGGAAAUGUUACAAACCCUUUUACAAGAGUAUUCCUGAAGAAGUGGCACCCAGCAGAAUUGAUACUGUUGACACAUAAAUGGGCUUUAACGUCUGCAGAGUCUCCAGUCAGCUCCAUUUUAUUCCUCUCAAACAAGAACACAAAAUGUAUUCAAUAAUAUCACAGUUUCAUUAGCUAAAACUCCACUGUUGUUAGCUGUACUCAAUAUGGCCAGAAAUCCUCUCCUUUAGAGGAAAACGCAGAUCGCACCUACUUGACUUUGCUUCCUGUGAGAAUUCAGAAACCCAGACAAAUAAAAAUCCCUUGUUAGAAAGAAAUAGAAGGAGAAAAUCUCAAAAAAUAAAGAAUAGUUGGUCCUACAAACUUUGGUUCCGUUUGAUAGCACUCAGCACAUUGUUAAAGGCUGUGUGAAGACAUAUUCUUCUUACGAACAGCAGCAAAUGCCAUGGAUACUCCCAGAUACAUAAUCAUAACAUGAACACGGUCCAGAAAAAUUCUUAAUGUGAAGGAGAAGGCAACAUGGAGUCAUCACAGUUUUAAUUCUAACACUUAAAGAUGAAGCACUAAAAUGUCUUAAAUCAGAUGAUGUCGGCUCCCAUUUCAGUUGAUCAUUAAGCUUUUUCCAUAUGUUUGGGGUUGCAGCCCUGCCUGACUCCUUCUGGAUAGCAUCUGAUGCAUGAAAGCAUCACAGAAGCAGAUCCGUCCAUGCCAUGAUUAAAACACACUCACAGAAAGCUGCCUGGACUGCUGUGCAAAAUAAAAAAUGCAUUUUCUUCCUUUGCAUUCCUUUAAAACACAUCCCUCUUUUAACCCCAGCCUUUCAAAGGGUGUUCUUGUUACUACAAAAUGGAAGAAAGCACAAAUGGAAGUUGGAGCACAUCUUUUAAGGGUUUCCAGGCAGCCUAUAUCAGCCCAGAGCAAAGGAGGGUCUGGUAAGCUGUCUUCCAUCUUCUCAACCAUUCUCAUCUCUAGUUCUGUUUCUAAGGUCAGUAAAAACACAGAGAAGUGAUUAUGCAGGAACUAGCUCUAAGGGAUUAUGCUAUUUGUCAAAAUAAUAACAGUGAAUUCAAUAUGUGUAAAUCUCUUCUCCCUGUGCAGUAGAUCUGUGCUCUGGUGCACACAUGGGAUAUUGAUAGGAGUCAUUUCCUAGGCACUGGCCUUUGGAAGGAGUCUGUGGUUGAUAUAAUAAGAAUCCCAGAUUUUCUAAGAACCCACAAAUUACAGGGGACAGUCCCUCACGUUCUUUCUGCUAACUGUUGAGUUACUUAGCAUUUUUAUCAGUGACAUGAAAGUAAAUAUAAAAUCAACUCUGAUAAAGUUUGCAGAUGACAUGGAGAACGGGGUAAAGAAAGAUGAGAGAUCUCUGGUGCAGGGUGAGUUAUUAGUUAGAAAACAGCAUAGGUUUUAAUACAUCCCAGUGUAAAGGUGCAAAGAAGUUAUAAGAGGCUGUUACAGAAUCGGGGACUGACCUUGAAUGAAAUGAUAGAAAUGAAAGCUUUGUGGUCAAAGCACAUGUCCUGGUGAGUGCCAGUCCCUGAGGAGAUCCAUUUGCCAAAAGAAUAAGUCUCUAAGACAAGAGCAGGGGAACCUCGGGAUCAAGAGGCUAUAUUAUGGCACUGAUUCAUCCCGUAGAAGGCCUAAGUCCAUCUGUGAAUCCUAACAGCCCUGCAGCCUCAUUAUGUGAAACCAGCCUGUGUGCUAAGUGUGACUUCCAUUUCUGGGGAAGUGCCAAGGAGCAGAAAUCUUGGGUUCAUUUGACUAUUGGUGGGGAUACAGCUUUCAUCUACUGGCAGUGGGGGUGAACUGUAUGGCUCAGCCAUUACUAGCUAGGCCACGUGCCUCCUGGCAUCUCUGUUGGGACAGAAGGGCUGCCAGAAUUUGGGCUGUCCCAGUGAGGAACACCAGCCUUUCACAACACAUGGAUAUGUGGAUACAGUCAUGGACCCUAACUUUAGCUUUAGCCAACCUAUCAUCAUGUAGCUGAGGCACAGGCAAAAUGGUGUCGCUUUGUCCUGUCCUGGUAUCUGUAGUCCAGGAAGAUGUCAAUAAUAGCAGGUUUGGAAAGUUUGCCUUCUAGAGUUAAAGGUUGAAGCUCCUCAUGGAUAAAAAGAGGGACUGGAUUUGAUCAGUCUGUAAGUGCCACCAUAAGGAACAAAGCUUCAUACAGGGCUAUGUGGUAUAGAAGACAGAGGCGUAACACCACCCAGGAGCUGCAAGGUGAAACCAAACUUGUUCAGACAUUAGAAGAGCUGAUGCUUGACUACUAGAAGAACCUCCCAAAAACCUUCCUGUGUUUCCUUGCCCUAGCUGUUUUAAAAUCCAUGUUAGUUGCCUUCUAGAAUAGAACUGGAUUUGAAAAACACAGCAGUACCUCUGGCCUUCUAGUCUAUGACUAUAGGAAGACCACUUCCUUUAUUUUCCCCCAGGCUGGGGGCAUCCCCACAGCAGCAUCAGACUUCUUGUCUUUUUUGUUGUUGACUUGCCUUCCAAACAGGGUAUUUCAGAGUAUAGUCAUAAGCUAUGCUAGAUGAAAUGCCAAAGGAAUUAACUUCAUGUGUGAUGUGACAUUGCCAGGGAUGAUAAGGACUUAAGGCAGGCUGGAAUGGAGAAGCCAAGCCAGUCUUCCUCUCAUACAGACCAGGAAUAAAUCCAGAAUUUGCCACUUGAGCCAAGAUUUGUCUUUUACAAAUCUUGUUUGGAAGAGAGACAGAGAGACAUGAUGUGACUAUCUCAUGGCCUCUCCAGAAUGGAAAGUGUCUUUUGGGGGUGGGGAUCCUACAGAAGCUCACCUAAAAACAUCAGAAGAAGAAGGAAACGUUCUGAGAAAUUUGGCUGUCAGUAUCUAAGCCUAUAAAUAGGCUUUUAGGAAGCCUGAAAGCUCCUGUAGUUUUGCUUGUUAUUUUAAAAUGUUAAUGUCAUUUUAGAGCUCAUGAAAGACAUGAGAUCACUGGUGAAGACCUGUCUAGCCACAUAUAGAAUCAGCAAGAAAUUCAGGUUCUUCCAUCCCAUUCAGCCUUGCCAUGGAAGAAAGACCAGCUCAUGGUGAGUUUUGGUCUUUAUUAACAGUUUAGCCUCUAGGCUCUCUGAUGGCCCACGUUUAGUCUGAGGCCUACUUUGUGAUACUGACAUGUGUUACCUGGAAACUAGCCUGUUACUAGCCAUCUAUUUCUUUCUUCUUAUUUUACACCAUGUUGUUUAGAAAAAAAAGUUGCAGUGCCUCAAGAGGAGCAGAGGUUGAAUUUACAGAGUCUCCCACUAUGCCUUUGGUUAGUAUGUCUUAAUAGAACAGCUCAAGAAGGAUACUUCAGUAAAACAUGGAUCUUUAACAGUGGCUCUGUGCAUUGGACAGUGAGACCAUCACUUCAGGCUGCCCGUUUCUAACGAAUUCCACUUGUGCCUUCUUGACUCCUUGUGGCUUCAUCCACCAUUCAGUGCCCCUUCCAAGAACCUUGCACUGAGACCCCAACUGGCUAUGGUCUGGUUAUUUGCAGGUUUUACUUUUUACUGUAAAUUUCACUCAUAUUAAUUCCAGAAAAGAGGGGAAAAAUUAUUUGGGGAAAAUAUAGGGUUUUUGAAUUAUUUUUUUCUUCAGCUUUUAUAAUUAGAAAGGAACAUAAAUUGUUUCCUGGGUUGGAUGAGUCAGAUUGAGUUGAUAAUCAUUAACACUCCAUUAGAACACUGCAUUAAAAAAAUAAAAUCCUUCUUGUAAACAUCUGAUUUAAAAAAAAAAUAAUAAGAAAAGCACAGGUUAGAAGCUGACAGGAAUUAUUAGCAAUAAGCUCUUUCGCAUAGAAACAGGCUUAUUACCAUGCAGUUGCAGCAGCUGGCAUGAGCCUGGCUUGAUGCCAGCAAACUGUGUCCUGCAAAAAACCAUCUUUCCACCUACCUCCAGGAAAACCAGGAAGACAGGGUUGCAUUCGCUUCUCAGUCUCUGCAUUAUAUACUCUCAUUGACCCCCGCAGCAGUCCUGUGCGUGUGUGUUAAGAGCAUGUUUCUAAAGGGGAAAAAAAAUGUCAAUUUUGCCUUUUCAGCUGGUAGACCUGUGAGCAAGGAUUGUGGGCUGCUUUUAAGAGAUAGGGGCAGAAGGGUAGGGGCAGGUGUUUUAUUAUGUCUUUGAAAGCUAGUAGAGGCCACUCAGGAAGGAAAGAAUAAAUUAAGUGCAGCAACAUAGAGAUCUUAGUUCAAAUCAGAUUUGCUAGAGUUUGGGGGAGGAAAGAGUGUUGUUUGUUUAUUUGUUGUUAGUUUAGUUUAUUUGUUUUUAGUUUAGUGCCAUGUUGAUGCAUGGCACAGUCUUCAGGUCCUGAGUCUGCCCACACUCAGAUGUUGAAGCACGCUUGUGGUUUGCUGAGAUCUGGUGUUGUUUGCUUACUUUUUUUGGCCAAGGACUUUUCCAUGUGAUUACGCUGUAGAAAGUGUGCCAUAGAUUACAUGGACCUCAACCAGGUUACAAGGAGAGAACACAAGUCUGCAUUUAGGAAACCAUCUUCAGUCCCAAUAGGAGUAACUUCAAACAUUUCGACCUUCGACCAUUUUGUUACUGACUUGGUUAAAUGUAGGAUCAGAUGCCGCAAAUGCCAAGGCUGUUCACUUUGCUGGGAGACAAAAAUACUCAAAAUAAAAACUGAAGCAAAAGGACCCAAAACAUUCCUUACUUUGCAGGAUCAGGCUUAAGGUGUGGAAAGCGCAAUGUUAGCAACCUGCUGCUGUAACAGUGAUUUUUGCAUUUAUUCUAAAAGGCCAAAUUAUGUAAGAUUUUGCCAGCUGUAGUUAAAUGAGGGUGAAAAAUACUGGCUGUAAAGGAGGUGAGUGAAAUGGCCUGUGAGGCUUUGUGGGGGAGCACAGAACUCACUUCUGAAGUCAUGACCACCCUUCUGGCUGAAAACAAUGACCUUUGCUGAAAAAACUCAAAGGUCUGGAGCACAGUGCUCACCGCCUAGUCCAAUUUCAAGUCAAUCGAAGGAAGCAAAAUACAAAGGGAAAGGUCAUAUUGACUUAGUGUAACAGUCUUAAUGAAUCUGGCUCUCUCUUUUGCAUUUCCAGUUGAAACAUAAACUCAGUGGCUCGUUCCCUUCCUCUGUGUGCUGUUUCAAAACACAUGGGUAGAGGGAAUAAGCUUUUGCUCAGCUUGAUCCCUGAAUAGCACUGUGUUUAAACAGAGCCUGAAAAGCAGUCUUUUUAUUUUUAGCAGCAGUGUUUUCUAAAAGGAGCUGUUGUUGACAAGAAAAGCCACUCAUAUUUGAAUACGAAACACUUCCAGCACUUUAAGUGUGAGGGGAAAGGUAGGCAAUUCUAUCCAAAGCAUUUGGGAGUCACAAUCAAUCAGGAAGGGACCGUGAAGGAUUUCUGGAUAGGAAAUAUUUAUUUACUUCUCCAAAACAAUUGCCCUGUGCAGACCCAGAGUAUUUGUUUGCGUGGCUGCAGCUCAUAGGUGCAGCAGUCACGGACCAGCACCCAGCUGUAUAAAGCAGUGCACAAAUGCAGAUCAGAAAGACAGGCUCAAAUCUAAGAAAAGAGAUCACAGAUGGGUGCAGACAGGUAGCUGGAGGAAUAUAAGAAAACAAGGUGAGAUUACAAUGUUUGAGUUCUUAUGGCAAAGCAAAACAAAAAAAAUAUACUGAAAGGUAAAAGGAUAACAUUUAUUUGUAUGUUUUUAAAGCUGCUGCUCCUUCCUCCAGCUCCAGUCCUGCCACGACGUCCAAAUGAAAUAAAUUCUGUUAAUAACACCUGAGCAGCAGAAGCAGCCAAGGGUAGAAGUCUAGGUAAAGACAAAUGCUUAAAGUUUACUAAGUACUUAAAAACCACGAGGAGCAGGCCUUAAAAUGGGAAGUGUCAGGCAAGCCCUUAAUAACAGGUAAUACUACCAGCCCCACCUAUAAUUGCUGUAUUCCUCUCUCCACCCUCUGAAUGUCACUUCAUUUCCAUCAAUUGCAGCUUUUCUCUGGGCACAGAUGGUGCCUUAGCAAUGUCUGCAAACCACCUCUUGAAAAAUGGGGUGACUUUUCUGUCUGAACCUCCCAGGAGUUGCCGUGAGAUCAGUAUGAAAUGAUAAGAGCACAAAUAAUAGCAAUAAUAAGGAAAAAGGAGGUCCAGCUCUGCUCACAUCUAGCUGUGCUGAUGCUAUCAUAUCCACAGUACGGUUUGAGGGUACCUUGAAAGCCUGCAUGUUGAGGGAAUAACGUACUGAAAGGAAUACAUUUACCGUGCAUCACACAGUCCCCAUUAGGAGAUUUUUAUGAUCAUAUUAUUAUGUGCUUUGUCUUCAAACAGAGACUUUGCUGGCUUUUUCACCCGUAAGCAAGAAAAAAUACUCGGCAUACUUGUUAUCAGUCUCUUAGUUCAGAUUUUCUCUCUGAUGUACAGCUGCUUCAUUUUGGUUCUCCUUUCCAACAAGAUGUAUUAUUGUCACCUUUUCUGUAACAGUUUCCUUAUGCUCCUGGAACUAGAUGACAGUCAAGAAUAUUACUAUGAAUCUGAGGGGGGGUACGUGUUUAGAAAUGUUUUAGAUGUGUAGAGAUGGUUGAAUUUUUGUGUUCUGACAUUAUUUUACACCAAGUGGACUAAAGGAUUUUUUUUUAAUUACAUAUAUUAUAAUUAUAUAACCAGACAAAUCUAUUCUUUUUCAGACUGCUUGCUCCAGCUAUUUGGAGGGUCUCAAUGAGCACACACAUCACUUGGAAGCUGUUAGCACUUGCUGAUUGGGUAUGAGAUGCUUUUUUAAAUAUCUGAUGAACCAUCAGGAAGUAAUAAGAAAUAAAAAAAAAUCUAUGGGAUGAGUUUUCAAAUAAAUACAGGCUUGUGAGACAAAUUAGGGAAGCUUUCGAGAGAGAGUGCCUCAAUGAAUAAGCUCCUGUGUACUUGUCAUAAUGUAACAUACAAAUCACAGUAAACCAAGCGUGAUGCUUUGAUUCGCAAAAAUAUGCAAGAAUAUCCUUUCAACUAUCCAAUCAGUUCUAUAGUGAGCCCUCACGCUACCAAAAGGUCAGCCUCCAAAAGGGUUAAGUAUUGACUGACAAGAGGAUGAAAGGAAGAGCAACAGAAUGUAGGUGUAUAAAGGUCUUGGGGGACAUUCCUAAAAGUCAGCAUCGGUUUUUACAUUUCUUGCACAGGAGCAGAUAUGAAUUUCAAAUAAUGAAUAGACUUGAAUCGUCUGUACUUUUCAGAAGUGUGAAACUCACAUUUAACUGUGUCCAUGCUGAACACUUUUCUUCUGUUUUCAUCCUUACGCUUUCAUUCGUUUGAAAAUUCCUGCCACAAAUCCAACAGUUGUACUCCUUCUCACCCAUUUUCACCUGCAUAGAGAAGACCCUGCGAUUUCUACAGCAUAACGCAGCUACAAAGGAACAAACACAGGUGAAAACUAUUAGUUACCCAGAGGUGACAGUGUGUUAGAAACAAAGGAGUCUGAAAGCAAAUAAAAAUAACAGGUGCCACAAAAAAUGGCUUGCAGCCCAAAUGCAGCUGGCAAACGCAAGGGGUUGGGAAGCUGGACAGGGCAUGCGCCCCUCAGUCCUGUUGCAACAGAGCCGUGCUGGGGAUGAUGGCUCUGUGGCAGGGCUCUCCGUGGUGGUGGUGGCCAAACAGCAGACUCGCAGGGUGAGGGGGCGAAUCAAACAGGCCCCUGGCAAUCUGUGCUCCGCUCUCCUUAUUUAGGGGCAGGAUGUUUUAGGAAGGGAGAGUCUGCUGGCAACCUGAUCCUCCCUCCGGUUGUGGGGAUCUUCAAAGGAGAUGGUGCUGGCAGCUGACAUCCCCCCCUGCUCCUGCUGCUUUUUUUUUCCCCAUUCACUCUGCAGAUGCCUCCCCCGACAGACCUCCUGACCAGCUCCUUCCUCCUCCUUGCAGAUCAAGUGUGGCUGUGUGCGAGGCUUUCCUACUGCGUGCCAUGCUGGGCCUCGCCAUGUCCUUGGUGUGUGAAGCCACACAGACCACCUUCAAAAAAAUAGUAAUUUGAAAUGUUGCACAGCCUCUAAAUGGGAGCAGGAGCCUGGCGGUUGAGAAUGGUGAUGGCAAACACAUUGAUACUGGGAGGAUAAAAGAAAUGACUUCUGAGAAGGAGCUCGCUGCAAUCUACCCCUGGUGCUUCCCAACAUACAAUAGUGGCUUCAUCCCUGCCCCAUAGCACUUCACACACGCAGGGAUAAAUACAUCUGCUGGCAAAGUUGGCAGUGACCUUUCCCCACUUGUGUUUCUAGAGGGCAAAGUUGGCACUGGCCUAUGCCCACUUGUGUUUCUAGAGGCCUGGGUGCCAAGAAUUCUGCCCUUUGCCUAAAGAAACUUUGCAAGCCAUCCCUGUACGCUUGAGGUACAAGGAGAGUUUGUCUUGCCUAACCCUGCAGAAAGGCAGAAGAGCUUGGAAACUGUGAAUCCACAUCCCAACCCCAAGCCUCUAGCCAUGCAACUCCCAUACAAUGAGACGUGGCACAGUGCUUUGCUGGGCAGUUGCAGGGACAGUGGGGUGACAUGUACCAGUGUGUGCAUGCUGCCUUCCCACCAGUCCCACAACUGCUUCCUGACAAACUGCACCGCGUGAUGUUGCUGUAGACAGCAAUAUCUAGCCCUUGGAAUGGUUUCAGUCAAACCACACUUAUCUGUCAGCACGCGUGAGGAGAAAGGUGGGUGGAAGGAAAAAGGCAGAGCCAGCACAGCAGCAAAUAUUGACACAAAACAAUAGCAAAACAUUAUUGUAAAACCCACACAAAUGAACAGGUGAGUCUGUGGAUAAGCACAGCCCAGGCGAGUGCUUCAGACUCAUGCGUUAAUGUUAUGUUUCCAGGGCUAAAGAAUGCACUUAGAGAAACACAGCCUGCGUAAGCACAGUAUGCAGAAACUGUGAUGAGGGAAAUUCAAUAAGAAGUGUCGCUUACAGUCAUGCAGCAGGGCAGAUAUUACUAUGCAUAAUAACGUGCGAACAGGCUCGGCCUUUGCUUUUUGUUUGUUUGUCUGUCUGGAGAUUUUCUGGUUGUUUAUUUUGUUGCCUAUCGUUUUGCUCUGUUUGGUUGUUGUGGCUGUUUGUUGUUUUUUGAUUAUUUAUUUUGAUGCGGGGAGCUCCACUGGGCAUCUUUAACUCUCAGCAAACGCCUUCUCAGCCAGGUGCUCAGAACCCGGCAGGACGAGGCCCACAUUUAAUAUUCACAUUAAAACUUAACCUUGAGUCACAGUAGCCCAAAUUAAAAAAAAAAAAGUCUUUGCUUAGUCAUACAGCAAUAAAAAGUAGCCAGUUGCAUCGCCUGCAUUGCACAUGCUGGUGUACACUUAACUACCUGCUUUUCUCCUGAGAUGGCUGAAAUUUUCUCUUCUUUUUCUUUUUUUCUUUUUUGUCAGAAUGUUUUAUAAUGGAAAAGUGAAUAGCUUGUUUCCAUUUUUCCCCUAUUACAUUAAUCAGGAGGUAUAAUAUGUCUAAAAUGAUUUGCAUGUUUUUCAUAAUGAAGCUGUACAUAAUUCCCUCCAUGUAAUGUCUUCCUGUGUAAAGUCCCUGUUCUCAAGCUGCUUUUUGCCUGUACUGGGCUAGGGCAGAAGCAGGCGGUGCUGCCCAUCCUCCUGGCCCUCUUAUCAAGGCUUUGGUCAGCUGUUGUUCCUCUCUGUUUCCCUCCAGAAUACCAAGCAAGCCAUAGUUCUUGGUAGACAGACUGUACGGAGCGUUCCACUGGCUACCUAAAUACACCCAAACCUUCCCCUCAGUCCUGCCGCAGCUCCCCAGCUUUGAUUUAUAACUUCCUGUUCCGUAUGAUAUGGUCCCAAUAACCUGAGUACGGUGGGUGCUGAGGUCCUCCAGAAGCAGGAUCCAGUUGGAUGAACAAAUCGAGACAUUGACCAAAACAGUUCUCCUCUAGGGCUACUUCUGAGUAAUGGCAUUCACCUUUUAUUCCUUUAGCCAGGUUGUGCCAUUGGGUUUGGGUCAAAUUCCCCUACCGAAGUCGCCUGUCAGCAAAAUAUGGUGACCCUGUGAGAAGGGAAAUGGCACGACAGUGAAAUAAUGGCACACCACAUCUCUUUAGGGGGGGAGCUUAGCAUACAGAACUACUCGUUCGUGGCAUCAGCCUUACUUCAGGAGAAAGGUAAUACUGGGCUGUGCAAAUACAGGCACAGGAGUUUGCGAAAGCACAUUUUCCCACCCCGUGCUUCAUAUGCAGAAAUGCUAUACUAUUUACUCAUUUGGAUGAUGACUAGGAGACACAUUACCAUAAGCAUUAUGGAGAUGAAUGCCUCAAAUUUAGGAAUUCAUGUCCCAGUUGUUACUCUGAGAAAAUAGCUGUGGACAUGGAUGGAAGCUUAGCUCAACUAACAGCGUAAAAAUCAGAUCUUGGGAGCAGAUGUGAGUGAAGCCACAGAAACAAAACAAGAGCGUGAUACAGAAGUAGCAACAAAAACAAAACAAUUUUCACUAGUGCUGCAUAACCAUCUUUCUUUAGUGGAUUAUAUGUUUUCUUCUUCAGGCAAAAGGGAUUUGAGACAUGCAAAUUCUAAGUUGAGCAACUAUGCACUUGCAGGUGAGUAAUCCCACUGACCUCCCCGGGACGGCUCAUGCGAGCUCGGCACAGUCAAAAAGGACACUGGCAGCACUGGGCUGAGUGCACCAUCUGUACCUUGCCUUGCUGGAGCAUGGAAGCUUCUCCUGGGGCUCCCAUCACUGCAAAGCCACUCGGAUACAUAGCAAAUGUGUCCUGGGCAAGGAAUUCAAUUAGUUCUCUUGGGCUACGUACCGUACCUUUUUCUUUUUCUUUCUUUCUUUCUUUUCUUUAAGAUCACAGAAAGAACAUUUCAAGGUUACUCUGUGAGAAUGAUCAAUCUUUUAAAACACAUGUGUUCUCUGAUUACAUUUGAAAAAAAAUAUUUAAAACAUGGAAAAAAAUAGAAGAAAAAUGAGCAGUGUGUAUUCUGGUAAUGAAAAACCAGAAAAAUUAGCACAGUUGAGCCCUUAAUUUUCUCCUUUUCUCCACAUUUCUGACAAUUAGGUCUGAAAAGAGGAGAAGGAGAGAAAGCACCUUGCUAGUUCAUCCACGUUAGCGUGCACAUGAGAACAGCUCACUGGGCUUCACCUGACUUCUUGUCUUCGCAGUCUGGAGAAUGCUGCAAGAUGCUACGGGCGUCUGCCGGUGAGGCAACUAGGAACUGGCUCCACAAGCACUGUGUUUACGAGAGAAAACAGCAAAAAUCUCUGCUCAGUUCACUGCACAUUGCACAAGCCAAAUGGCAAAGAGAUGUAUUUUUUUUCUGUGCUCUGAAGUAAAUGGCAGUGCCAACACAUACAAAUAUGCAUCUGUUACUAAUGAGGUGUUUACAGCCCCUGCCUUGCCAAUUGCAUGUAUGUAAUACCUCUACCCAUCUUCACCUACGGGGCUCUGGGUAAGAGACAAUAGGUGCAAAUUAACGUAUGGACAUGCAUUAUCUCCUCCAGCUUGGACACGACUGGAAACCUCUUUAAAUAUUUUUAAAUGCCGCAGCUCGCUACCAGGGCUUUAAAAUCCUUUCUCCCACUCUUUGCUGAUGGUGAAAAUGUUCUGGGGACAGGACAAGAUGUUUAUAAUCGCAGGACAUUUCACUCUGCACUUUGUUUUAGUGUGUGGGGGGAAUAAUAAUUGUAUUCAGACUUGAAAUGGCUUGGGUUACGCAGUUCAGAGCACAAGCACCUGCAGCAAAUUAAUUUGUUGUAGCACAUUUAUUAUCUCAUAGCUUCUCUUUAGGCUGCAGCUGUUGCUAUUAUGUUAAUAAUGUUUUUUAUCACCACUGUAUACAACAGGUUAUGGUAAUACAGAAAUUUUGGGGCGAGAGGUGUUUCUUUCUUAAUUUUAUUUCUCAGGAAAAAAAAUAAAAAGAAAGAUGGGGAGAAUAUAGAACGUAAGCAUUGAUCAGGCAUUUAGCUCUGCGUUUAUUAGCUGAUUUGAAAGAGAAUGGGCAACAGAAAUUAGAAAAGAGUAACAAUAGACAAAGAUGGCGCGUGCAGAAUUUGUGAAAGCAAAAAAGAAGAAGAAGAGGUGGAAAAAAAGAAAGAAAGAAAGAAACACCGAACACCGCAGUGCUGGGGUGAAUCCAGGCUCCAAAAGCCCCAUCCUCGUGGACCUCAGGGGGUAGGAUGGCACACAAAGAGGCUCUGAAAGGGAAGAAUCCCAUUUUCCAAAAAGCACUGACGGGUGAAAGUUGACGUGCAAAUCAUUGUAGAAAAGGCUUUUUUUUUAGUCUGUGUAUGACUGGAUACACCGAGAGGAAAAAGAAAUCUGUCAGCGUCACUGUGCGAGCAGAAAACUCAGCGCCCGUCCCGCCG
ensembl:lncRNA